rnacentral:rRNA from 1 species
CCAGCAGCCGCGGUAAUUCCAGCUCCAAUAGCGUAUAUUAAAGUUGUUGUGGUUAAAAAGCUCGUAGUUGGAUCUCGGCGGACUGAGGGCGGUUUGCUUGCUAGUAUUACUGCCCUAUAGUCCGUAGUUUUGCCAGAGGUUUCGGGGUGCUCUUAAUCGAGUGUCCCGGGAUGCUGGCAGGUUUACUUUGAAAAAAUUAGAGUGCUCAAAGCAGGCUAUUACGCCUGAAUAUUCGUGCAUGGAAUAAUAGAAUAGGAAGUCGUUUCUAUUUUGUUGGUUUUCGGAAAUCGACUUAAUGAUUAAUAGGGACAGUCGGGGGCAUUUGUAUUCAAACGACAGAGGUGAAAUUCUUGGACCGUUUGAAGACAAACUACUGCGAAAGCAUUUGCCAAGAAUGUUUUCAUUAAUCAAGAACGAAAGUUAAAGGUUCGAAG